AAUUAAUGAAAUUGUUUUAUAUGAUUUAUGUAAUUUAAUGUUAAAUUGAAUAAAAUAAUGUUAUUGUAAGAUGAAUUGAUGAAAUUGUUUUUACUAUAGUGUAUUAGUACUGUGAAGGAAAAUUUAAAUUUUUAAUAUAAUUAGAUAAAGGUAAUUUUAUUAAUUGUAUCUUGUGUAUCAAAGUAUAUUUAAAUGAAUUAUAAAUAAUUUUGUUCUCGAAUUUAAAAGAUUUAAUUGAAUAAUCUAGUUAUUGUGUUAUAAAUAUUAGAAAUAUUUAAUUGGUAAUGAAAUGUUAAUCGUUUUUAAGGAUAUCUAGUUUUUUAAUAAAUGAAUUUAAUUCAUAAAAUAUAAUUUAUUUUAUAUGUUAUUAUUAAAAUAUUUUAUAUUUUUAAUUUUAGAAAGGCUAAACUUUCUAAAAUAUUAUUAUAAUAGGAUUGUAAUAGGAGGAUUUUAUAAAUUUAGAAUUUGUUUUUAAUUAGAGGAUGUUAAAAUUUAAUUCUUGUUUUGAGGGAUUUUGGUUAUUAUUUAAUAUAUAUAUUAAAAUGUUAAGUUUAAUUUGGUAUUUUUAGUAAAUAUGAUUUAAUUAGUAAAGGAGAUAAUUAUUUAAUAAAAUAUUUUUGAUAUAUUAUUAUAAAGAAUUAAGCAAAUAUUUUGCUCACCUGUUUAUUAAAAACAUGGUUUCUUGAAUUUAUUUAGGAAAUUUAACCUGCCCACUGAAAAUUUUUGAAGGGCCGCAGUAUCUUGACUGUGCAAAGGUAGCAUAAUCAUUAGUCUUUUAAUUGGAGGCUGGUAUGAAUGGUUGGAUGAGGUAAAUUCUGUUUUAUAUUAAUUGGGAUUGAAUUUAGAUUUUAAGUAAAAAUACUUAAAUGUUAUUAAGGGACGAGAAGACCCUAUAGAGUUUAAUAAGUGUAGUAAAUAAUUGAGUUAUGAAGUAAUUUUUGGUUUUUAUGAAAUUUAUUUAGUUGGGGUGAUUAAAAGAUAAAAUAAACUCUUUUUUAAUUUUAAUAUUAUAGUUAAUUAUUUGAUCCAUAUUUUAUGAUUAUAAGAUUAAAUUACCUUAGGGAUAACAGCAUAAUUUUUUUUGAAAGUUCAUAUUGAAAGAAAAGAUUAUGACCUCGAUGUUGGAUUAAGAUAGGAGUUGGGUGUAGAUGUUCAAUGUACUAGGUCUGUUCGACCUUUAAAAUCUUACAUGAUCUGAGUUUAAACCGGCGUGAGCCAGGUUGGUUUCUAUCUUUAAUUUUAUUAGAUAUUUUAGUACGAGAGGACCAAAUAUUUAAAAUAAUUUUUGUUAAUUGAAUGCUAUUAAUUAUAU
rnacentral:rRNA from 1 species